CAGGAAGUGAUUUUUCUCCAUAAAAAUCACUAGGAGAAACUCAAAAUGGCUAUGUUUUGCACUGUUUAUGGAUGCUCAAAUCGGUCAAACCGAGAAAAAACAAAGAGUUUUUAUCGUGUAACAAAAGUUGUUUCUCAUACGGGGGGGAAUUUCAAGGAAUUGACUGAAAAAUGUAGGAAAAAAUUGUUUGAAAACCUUCAUCUUCUCUUCGGUUGGGAGGAGCCGAGUCAGCUAAUUUAAUGCUUGUGUGUGCAGUGACCAGUUUGUCAGAGGCUGCCCUAGUGCUUUAAAUGAUGUUGAGUCUGUAGACUGGGCUCCUACACCUCGGUUAUCAAAAAUGUAGAGGCCUUGCUGGAUCUCCGUGAGUCAGCUGAGGACACAUAGCAAGAGGACAACACAGAGAUGUUACCUGAUCAACAAGAUGCAGAAUGCCAGACAGACCUAACCAUGGAUGGCAUUGAGAGGAUGAAAGAUGUUCUCAAACACACCACAACACCACACUGGGUGAUCUUAGAACUAAAGCACUUGACAUCCAAUUCAGCCAAGAGUCUUUUCAGAAGAACGAAGACUUGACAAAGUUUUAC
ensembl:lncRNA